GUCAAGUAAGAAUACCCGCUGAACUUAAGCAUAUCAAUAAGCGGAGGAAAAGAAACUAACUAGGAUUCCCUUAGUAACGGCGAGUGAACUGGGAAGAGCUCAAAUUUUAAAUCACUUUGGUGAAUUGUAAUUUGAAGAAAGUGUUUUGACUUUUCAGUUUAAUCUAAAUCCUUUGGGAUGAGGUAUCAUAGAGGGUGAGAAUCCCGUUUGUGAUUAGACCUCGGAAUGCAUUAAUUCACUUUCUAAGAGUCGAGUUGUUUGGGAUUGCAGCUCAAAAUGGGUGGUAAAUUUCACCUAAGGCUAAAUAUAUGCGAGAGACCGAUAGCGAACAAGUACCGUGAGGGAAAGAUGAAAAGAACUUUGAAAAGAGAGUUAAACAGUACGUGAAAUUGUUGAAAGGGAAACGAUUGAAGUCAGUCAUGCUAGUGAGAAAUCAGCUUGUGUGGUGCGAGUUUUUUCUCAAUCUUCCUUGUGUACUUUCUUGCUCGGCAGGUUAGCAUCAAUUUUGGUUGUCAUCAAAUAAUUGGGGGAAUGUGGCUUCUCUUCGGUGAAGUGUUAUAGACCCUGAUAGAUGUGUUGACUGGGAUUGAGGAUUGCAGCGGAUGCCUUUGGCUAGUCACCUAUCUUCUGACGGUCACCUCGCUUUUGACAGCUUGCUGAUGAUUGCGAGAUUUGGCAGUUUAGAAUUUAGACUGAACAUAAAUUCGCUAAGGAUGCUGACGUAAUGGCUUUAAACGACCCGUCUUGAAACACGGACCAAGGAGUCUAACAUGUGUGCGAGUGUU
rnacentral:rRNA from 1 species